rnacentral:lncRNA from 1 species
AGAGCCUGUAUUUGGGCAGACCAGGAGUAGUUCAGCUGCAGGUCAGCAAUGACAUCACAGAACAAGGUUCUUUCUGUGCGCUCCCUAGCAAUUGCUUUUACACUCAUGCUAAACCUCCAAGCAUUGAUUCCAUAUUCCUGGCAGGAAGAAGGCUAAAGUGCCCAAAGUUAUCUCCUCUUUGGCUUUUUAUGGAAAGAAAACCAUUGCCAACAGACUUGUACUUAUAUUUCCAAGGCCAGUACUAUGUCCCAGGGCCAACUCAUGCAGAAAGAUGUCCGAGGGGUGCGCUUGCUUACACGGGGACCACCACUGCUGCGCAUUGGCAUUCUUCCUGCUGGCUGUGGCUGUACCGCCGAGCGACUGACCCUAACAACAAUGUUCAUCUUGGACAUACUUUGGGUCACAACUACUAGCAUUUGAAAGGCUCCAUCAGCUGCUAUUCCAGAACUCAGCGAUACUCCUUGGCAAUACAAAACAGACAUGUUUGAGGCACUGAGACUGAAUAGGAAGGAAGUGCCAAAAGAUUCGCAAAAGAAAAAACUGAAAAAAGAAGAAAUGCUAGCAUAUCAGAAAGGAAAGGUCUGUGUUAUAAAAUGGAAAGACAAAAGAGACUUCUCC